AUGCUCCGCCGCCUCCAGCGCGCCGGGGCGCAGGUGUUGGCCGCCCUCUGGCCAAGCGAGACGAUUCCCCGCACCCCGAGUCGGACUGCCGACUGGCUGGAGGUUGCGGUUGGCCACUUCGAGGCCUGGAAGGCGUCGGUAGCCCGGCUUGGAGCUGGGCGGGCGCUGGAGUUCGUCCGAGCCUGGUAUCCGGGGCUGAACCUGGACCAGCUACGCACCUGGCGGCUGGAGGCCGACGAAGAGAUGGAGGAGGUGUGGCCAGCUAUCGCUCAGCGCGCUUGGACGAUCGCUGAGUGUACUGACAUCAGUGUCUUUGCUCCUGAGAUCAAUGACGACGGCGUUGCCCAGCCGGAGGAGUGGUUCGAGCUGGACCCGGUGGCGGGUGAAGACUCGGCAGAGGAGAUCGCCUCCAGCGAUGAAGGCGAAGACGACGAAGGAGAGGAAGGCGAAGACGUUGAGCCGACUGGUGAAGCGGGCAGCCAACCUCAGCCUGAUCGUGCCUCCGGCAACAAGGCGCGUGCUAGCGCGCCCUCUGCGGGAGGCGGUGAUCAUGCCGAGGUUCGCCAGCCGGCCACUCCUCCAGCUGGUACUGCUGUCUCCACCGACCUGCCCGGCUCACCAGUCGCUCCCUUGGCUUAG
rnacentral:rRNA from 1 species